CCUCCUCCUCCUGCCACCUCUUCAUCUCUUCCUGCCAUCUUGUUGCCUCUUGCAUCUCUAUGUGUGGUGUUUUUAUUGGUGCUACUGGUGAAGAGACAUUGUCACAAGUCAGAAGCUGAUAAAGGAGAUGACAUCAUAUACAGCGACGUCCAAAUAACUCAACUUCAGCAGCAAAAAGUCAAACCCAGCAGAGAGAAUUCACCAUCUCCAGUUUACUCUGAUGUGAGAACAGAGGGGCUCAUUUAUGGACAAGUCAACACCAGAAAACAAGGAACCAGAGAGCUUCCAGUAGAACCAGACAUCAUCUACUCCUCAGUGAGGUAGUCCACCAUCUGACCUCUGACCUCCAGCUGCUGCCUUCUGACUGCUGCAUCCAACAGACUCUGUUCAUGUCAUUUAUUUAUUAUUUCAUGUCCUCUAUGAUCUCAAUAAGCAGCAGUACAUUUCUCUGUGUUUGUAGAAUAAAUUAUCUCUUUGUCGCAGUUUAGUCUUUUUAUUUCUCUCUAAAGUAUUUCAGGUGAUCAUGAGUGAGAGCUGUGGUUUCAUGUUCUCUGUGGGUUUCAGAGAGAAUAUAGAAAAUAAGUCAUUUGUCUCUGUCUGAUGCACCAAUGAACCACAGUUAACAACACGCUGCAGUGGAAACUUCCAGAGAAGAACCACAGUGGCUGUGGGCAGCUGAGAGGGUCUGACUUCAUCAACCCUUUAUUAAGAUCAGAUCAUUUGUUUCAGGAAAUGUUUUAUCUAAAUAUGUCACCUACUAAUAUCUCUCCUUUAUUACUUACUUUAAAUGUUUUCAUAAGAAUCUCAGCCUGUUAGCUUCUGAAUAAUUUAAUGCUUUAUCUUAUCAGUAAUGUUUUAUUUACCUGAAAUG